CCUUUCCCCAGGAGCUCCCAGCAACCUUCGCGCUUCUCCGGAGGGUGGGGUCUGCCGCGGCGCGGGGGCAGCCUCGCCCCACCUCACUGCUGGACUCCGGAGAGCCAUUUCUGGGACCGGGAGCUGUCCAGCGCCUCGGGUCCUGACGGACCGCUGAUUCGCCUAGGUGCCAUCGGACAAGCGGGUGCUCAGAGCCAGCUCUGGUGGCUCGGGAGCUUUCCCCCAACCAGGCUAAGACCACUAAACCACGCCUGGCCCAGAUGAGCUUGGAUGCAGCUCCGAACGUGGGGAUCCAUCGGUGCUGAGAACUGACCCAGGGAGCACCUUGACCCCUGCCCUAUCUGGGCACAAUUGAAGGGCCAAGUGCCACCAGACCACUUUCCUGGAACCCUGUCUCAGACUUGGGCAGGAAGAAGAGCCAUGAGAGUAGGUCAUGAAAUCCUCAUUCCAGAGAUACC
rnacentral:lncRNA from 1 species